UGGUAGGAUAGAGGCCUACCAUGGUGGUGACGGGUGACGGAGAAUUAGGGUUCGAUUCCGGAGAGGGAGCCUGAGAAACGGCUACCACAUCCAAGGAAGGCAGCAGGCGCGCAAAUUACCCAAUCCCGACACGGGGAGGUAGUGACAAUAAAUAACAAUACGGGGUUCUUUAGGAUCUCGUAAUUGGAAUGAGUACAAUUUAAAUCUCUUAACGAGGAACAAUUGGAGGGCAAGUCUGGUGCCAGCAGCCGCGGUAAUUCCAGCUCCAAUAGCGUAUAUUAAAGUUGUUGCAGUUAAAAAGCUCGUAGUUGAAUUUCGGGGUUAGUAGGUUGGUCAUGCCUCUGGUAUGUACUGGUCUCACUGAUUCCUCCUUCCUUAUGAACCGUAAUGCCAUUAAUUUGGUGUUGCGGGGAAUUUGGACUGUUACUUUGAAAAAAUUAGAGUGUUUAAAGCAAGCUAACGCUUGAAUACAUUAGCAUGGAAUAAUGAAAUAGGACGUUCGAUCUUAUUUUGUUGGUUUCUAGGAUUGACGUAAUGAUUAAUAGGGAUAGUUGGGGGCAUUAGUAUUCAAUUGUCAGAGGUGAAAUUCUUGGAUUUAUUGAAGACUAACUACUGCGAAAGCAUUUGCCAAGGAUGUUUUCAUUAAUCAAGAACGAAAGUUAGGGGAUCGAAGACGAUCAGAUACCGUCGUAGUCUUAACCAUAAACUAUGCCGACUAGGGAUCGGAUGAU
rnacentral:rRNA from 1 species